GGGCUUGACAUCCCACGAACCUGCCUGAAAGGGCGGGGUGCCCGCAAGGGAGCGUGGAGACAGGUGGUGCAUGGCUGUCGUCAGCUCGUGUCGUGAGAUGUUAGGUUAAGUCCCGCAACGAGCGCAACCCUCACCCCUGGUUGCCACCGGGUAAAGCCGAGCACUCGAGGGGAACUGCCAGCGUCAAGCUGGAGGAAGGCGGGGAUGACGUCAAGUCAUCAUGCCCCUUACGCCCUGGGCUACACACGUGCUACAAUGGCCGGUACAAAGGGACGCGAGACCGCGAGGUGGAGCCAAUCCCAAAAAACCGGUCUAAGUUCAGAUUGCAGUCUGCAACUCGACUGCAUGAAGGAGGAAUCGCUAGUAAUCGCGCAUCAGCACGGCGCGGUGAAUACGUUCCCGGGCCUUGUACACACCGCCCGUCACACCACGAAAGCUGUCUGUACUCGAAGUCGCUGAG
rnacentral:rRNA from 1 species